rnacentral:rRNA from 1 species
UACGUAGGGGGCAAGCGUUGUCCGGAAUCAUUGGGCGUAAAGCGCGUGUAGGCGGCUCAGUAAGUCCGCUCUGAAAGCCCGGGGCUCAACCCCGGGAGGCGGGUGGAUACUGCUGAGCUUGAGUCCGGAAGAGGCGAGUGGAAUUCCCGGUGUGAGCGGUGAAAUGCGCAGAUAUCGGGAGGAACACCAAUGGCGAAGGCAGCUCGCUGGGACGUGACUGACGCUGAGACGCGAAAGCGUGGGGAGCAAACGGGAUU